rnacentral:rRNA from 1 species
AGAGUUUGAUCCUGGCUCAGAUUGAUUUCUGGCGGCAGGCCUAACACAUGCAAGUCGAGCGGUAGAGAGGAGCUUGCUCCUCUUGAGAGCGGCGGACGGGUGAGUAAUGCCUAGGAAUCUGCCUGGUAGUGGGGGAUAACGUUCGGAAACGGACGCUAAUACCGCAUACGUCCUACGGGAGAAAGCAGGGGACCUUCGGGCCUUGCGCUAUCAGAUGAGCCUAGGUCGGAUUAGCUAGUUGGUGAGGUAAUGGCUCACCAAGGCGACGAUCCGUAACUGGUCUGAAAGGAUGAUCAGUCACACUGGAACUGAGACACGGUCCAGAAUCAAACGGGAGGCAGCAGUGGGGAAUAUUGGACAAUGGGCGAAAGCCUGAUCCAGCCAUGCCGCGUGUGUGAAGAAGGUCUUCGGAUUGUAAAGCACUUUAAGUUGGGAGGAAGGGCAGUAAAUUAAUACUUUGCUGUUUUGACGUUACCGACAGAAUAAGCACCGGCUAACUCUGUGCCAGCAGCCGCGGUAAUACAGAGGGUGCAAGCGUUAAUCGGAAUUACUGGGCGUAAAGCGCGCGUAGGUGGUUUGUUAAGUUGGAUGUGAAAUCCCCGGGCUCAACCUGGGAACUGCAUUCAAAACUGACUGACUAGAGUAUGGUAGAGGGUGGUGGAAUUUCCUGUGUAGCGGUGAAAUGCGUAGAUAUAGGAAGGAACACCAGUGGCGAAGGCGACCACCUGGACUAAUACUGACACUGAGGUGCGAAAGCGCGGGGAGCAAACAGGAUUAGAUACCCUGGUAGUCCACGCCGUAAACGAUGUCAACUAGCCGUUGGAAGCCUUGAGCUUUUAGUGGCGCAGCUAACGCAUUAAGUUGACCGCCUGGGGAGUACGGCCGCAAGGUUAAAACUCAAAUGAAUUGACGGGGGCCCGCACAAGCGGUGGAGCAUGUGGUUUAAUUCGAAGCAACGCGAAGAACCUUACCAGGCCUUGACAUCCAAUGAACUUUCUAGAGAUAGAUUGGUGCCUUCGGGAACAUUGAGACAGGUGCUGCAUUUCUGUCGUCAGCUCGUGUCGUGAGAUGUUGGGUUAAGUCCCGUAACGAGCGCAACCCUUGUCCUUAGUUACCAGCACGUCAUGGUGGGCACUCUAAGGAGACUGCCGGUGACAAACCGGAGGAAGGUGGGGAUGACGUCAAGUCAUCAUGGCCCUUACGGCCUGGGCUACACACGUGCUACAAUGGUCGGUACAGAGGGUUGCCAAGCCGCGAGGUGGAGCUAAUCCCACAAAACCGAUCGUAGUCCGGAUCGCAGUCUGCAACUCGACUGCGUGAAGUCGGAAUCGCUAGUAAUCGCGAAAAAGAAUGUCGCGGUGAAUACGUUCCCGGGCCUU